ACCAGCUCUGACGAUGAACAGUUCCCACCAACAAAGACCCCACAGGAGGAAGAUGAGGAGAUCUCACAAAUAUGGCAAAGCUUGUUGGACUCUAUCUCGAUACCAAACUCUAUAAUGCAGGAGCCAGCAGCAGAGGCUGUAACAGCUGAAGAACCUGAGAAGUGCAUCAAUACUAGCAUCCCGCCGUCACCUAUUGAGCUUUGGAAUAUGGCUUCUGCAAGUAACAUUCACAUUCAGGCUCCUGAAGCAUUGGCAAACAAUCAGCCGGCGCAUCUCACCCUGAAAAAUCUUCUUGGACUGUCGAUUGAUGAAACACAGC